rnacentral:rRNA from 1 species
UACGGAGGGGGCUAGCGUUGUUCGGAAUUACUGGGCGUAAAGGGCUCGUAGGCGGCCAACUAAGUCGGACGUGAAAUCCCUCAGCUUAACUGGGGAACUGCGUCCGAUACUGGAUGGCUUGGAUUUGGGAGAGGGAUGCGGAAUUCCAGGUGUAGCGGUGAAAUGCGUAGAUAUCUGGAGGAACACCGGUGGCGAAGGCGGCAUCCUGGACCAAUAUUGACGCUGAGGAGCGAAAGCCAGGGGAGCAAACGGG